rnacentral:rRNA from 1 species
CCUACGGGAGGCAGCAGUGGGGAAUAUUGGGCAAUGGACGCAAGUCUGACCCAGCAACGCCGCGUGAAGGAAGAAGGCUUUCGGGUUGUAAACUUCUUUUAAGGGGGAAGAGCAGAAGACGGUACCCCUUGAAUAAGCCACGGCUAACUACGUGCCAGCAGCCGCGGUAAUACGUAGGUGGCAAGCGUUGUCCGGAUUUACUGGGGGUAAAGGGCGUGCAGCCGGAGAGACAAGUCAGAUGUGAAAUACACGGGCUCAACCCGUGAACUGAAUUUGAAACUGUUUCCCUUGAUGGUCGGAGAGGGAAUCGGAAUUCCUGGUGGAGCGGUGAAAUGCGUAGAUAGAAGGAAGAACACCAGUGGCGAAGGCGGAUUACUGGACGAUAACUGACGGUGAGGCGCGAAAGCGUGGGGAGCAAACAGGAUUAGAUACCCCUGUAGUC